GCUGCUUUAACUCAACAAAACGUUUUCUGCCCAACACGGAAGUAGUUUAAAGAACUCGCGCGGUUUCUUUAGCAUAAGACAUGUUUGUGUUUAUAACGCGAUGUCAAAACUAAAACGAAAGAAAUCAGCUGUUGACUAUAGACCCGAGCAGCAACCAGUGAGCAAAAAGACGAAUGAGAGUUUGUGCAGAGUACAGGAAAGUCAUUGCAGCAAAACUCUUAAAGACAGCUCUGCUGCUGAGGUUGUGUCAUGGUGGGAGAGAUCAGAAUUGAGUGAUGUGGAGAGAAUUUGGGCUCUUACUUUAAAGGCUCUUUGCCCAUCCCUGCAAACCCAUCAGGAGGAAUGUAUUCCCCAACUCCCUCCACCCUCAUCAACGCUUCUUCAGAGAACUCCUGUGGAUAAAGAAAGUGACUGGAAGUGGAGUAGUCCGGAUGAAAAUAUUACUGAACUUCCCGAUCUGCCCGCUCCAUCUUUCCUUAUUCAUCAACAUCGAGUGAUUAACCCUACUUCACACCAUCCAGCAGUAAAGGACAAUGUGGAAUCUGAACCAGGAGAGACUAAUCAGACCACUAAUCGAGAGAAUAGUGACGUUUCAAAUAACCAAGAGGGUGUAUCCAUAUGUGAUCUGCAAACUAUGCAGCAUCGCCGCAUAGAUGUUCAUGCAUUGUUGAAUAAAACGAGUGACACGUGUGGACCGGCAGGGCAAGUCUUCGAACAGUUCGGAACAAUAUCUGAGGCAGGAGGAUCUGGAUCAGGGCUUAAAACAAAAUCCGGAGCAGGAGGAUCUGAGCUUGGAACGAAAUCUGGAGCAGGAGGAUCUGGAUCAGGUCUGAAAACAAAAACAGGACCAGGAGGACCUGGAUCAGAGCUUGGAACGAUAUCUGGCGCAGGAGGAUCUGGAUCAGGGCUGAAAACAAAAUCAGGAGCAGGUGGAUCUGGAUCAGAGCUUGGAACGAAAUCUGGAGCAGGAGGAUCUGGAUCAGGGCUGAAAACUAAAUCUGGAGCAGGAGAAUCUGGAUCAGAGCUCCAAACGAAAUCUGGAGCAGGAGGAUCUGGAUCAGGGCUGAAAACAAAAUCAGGAGCAGGUGGAUCUGGUUCAGAGCUUGGAACGAAAUCUGGAGCAGGAGGAUCUAGAUCAGAGCUCCAAACGAAAUCUGGAGCAGGAGGAUCUGGAUCAGGGCUGAAAACAAAUUCGGGAGCAGGAGGAUUUGAGCUCGGAAGGAAAUCUGGAGCAGGAGGAUCUGGAACAGGGCUGAAAACAAAAUCUGGAGCAGGAGGAUCUGGAACAGGACCGAAAACAAAAUUGGCUGCAGGAGGAUCUAAAUCACUGUUUGGAACAAAAUCAGCAGGAGCAGGAAGUAUGGGAUCAAUGUUCAGUACAAAAUCUGGAUCUGGAUUAAGCUUGGAAAAACCAGGAGCAGGAAAAUCUCAAUUAGAACUGGAAUGCUGCCCUAUGUGUCUGAUGCCAUUUCCUGCGGGGUUUUCCCAAAUGGAAUGUGACGGUCAUCUUGCACAGUGUUUAUCAGAGAUGAAUGCAGAUAUCGUCUGGUGAAAUAAGAUAUUAACCAGGAUGCCUGUAUAUCUUCAAUAUGUGCUUAACAGUGUGUGCUUGGAAAGCAUUUGGACCUUACAGAAAUCAUGAGACAGAAAUCUAAACUCAUUACAAUGAACAUUUACUGAUUUACAGUUGUUGUUGUUAUCUAAGAUGAUUAAGACUUCAUAAGACUGAAGACAUGUUUACAUCUCUCUCUUUCACUCAGGCCAUGGAAACUCUGCUAUAGCGUUCAUUUAAAUUACAAUAACUUAUAAAACAAACACUUCAAAUAGAAAAGUGUUCCCCUGUAGCACAUUGAUUAGAGUGUCAUUUGCUUCAGACUCAACAUAAACAAACAAAGAAAAGCAGAGAACAGCUCGCAACAGCCUUGUGUUUGGCAAGUUAAUAAAAGAAAAUGUCUUCAUUGGAAAAAGUGCACAGAGCUUGUAUGUUCUUGACUAGUUGUUGGGACACUGACUUCAGAUCAUCUCUUAUGAUGGUGCAGAAACAGAUUUAUUUCUUUUUAUGGAAAAGUUUUAAGGGUUAAAUUACAAAUAUUUACAGAGAUGCAUUAUGCCAAACUCAUUUGAGUAAAAUAAAUAAAUAAACAGGAAUAGAACUUAAUAAAUGGACAAUCAAUCUGUUUCACAUAGAGCCUGUACAUUUAGCUGUUGGUUAGAUGAUGGUUUAUUACUUGUUCCUUUGUCAAAUACCACAAUACCAGAUUGUAAAUAUAAUUAGGGAUGCACUUAUAUAUCAGCCUACAGUGUAAAACGUUUUUUCGCACUUAAAUAGUUGAGUAUAAUCAACUUUUUUUGUUCAUUAUACUCAAUUUUCUAAAUAU